GAUGAACGCUGGCGGCGUGCCUAAUACAUGCAAGUCGAGCGCAGCGGGGGCGGGGGAGUAAGACGUGGAUAACCUCCUAUAAGACUGGAAUAACGUCGGGAAACCGGAGCUAAACCGGAUACUUAGAGAUGGAUCCGCGCUGCAUUAGCUAGUUGGUAAGGUAACGGCUUACCAAGGCAACGAUGCAUAGCCGACCUGAGAGGGUGAUCGGCCAAACUGGAACUGAGACACGGUCCAGACUCCUACGGGAGGCAGCAGUAGGGAAUCUUCGGCAAUGGGCGAAAGUCUGACGGAGCAACGCCGCGUGAGUGAUGAAGGUCUUCGGAUCGUAAAACUCUGUUAUUAGGGAAGCGGUACCUAAUCAGAAAGCCACGGCUAACUACGUGCCAGCAGCCGCGGUAAUUC
rnacentral:rRNA from 1 species